ACGUAGGGUGCAAGCGUUAAUCGGAAUUACUGGGCGUAAAGCGUGCGCAGGCGGUUUUGUAAGACAGAGGUGAAAUCCCCGGGCUCAACCUGGGAACUGCCUUUGUGACUGCAAGGCUGGAGUGCGGCAGAGGGGGAUGGAAUUCCGCGUGUAGCAGUGAAAUGCGUAGAUAUCGGGAGGAACACCAGUGGCGAAGGCGACACGCUGGACCUGACCUGACGCUCAGACGCGAAAGCAUGGGGAGCGAACGG
rnacentral:rRNA from 1 species